rnacentral:rRNA from 1 species
UGGGGAAUAUUGCACAAUGGGCGCAAGCCUGAUGCAGCCAUGCCGCGUGUAUGAAGAAGGCCUUCGGGUUGUAAAGUACUUUCAGUCGGGAGGAAGGUGUCAAGGUUAAUAACCUUGGCAAUUGACGUUACCGACAGAAGAAGCACCGGCUAACUCCGUGCCAGCAGCCGCGGUAAUACGGGGGGUGCAAGCGUUAAUCGGAAUUACUGGGCGUAAAGCGCACGCAGGCGGUUGAUUGAGUCAGAUGUGAAAUCCCCGGGCUUAACCCGGGAAUUGCAUCUGAUACUGGUCAGCUAGAGUCUUGUAGAGGGGGGUAGAAUUCCAUGUGUAGCGGUGAAAUGCGUAGAGAUGUGGAGGAAUACCGGUGGCGAAGGCGGCCCCCUGGACAAAGACUGACGCUCAGGUGCGAAAGCGUGGGGAGCAAACAGG